UUCUGGAUUUGAGACGGAAUCAUGUCUGGUAGAGAAGGUGGUAAGAAGAAGCCCCUGAAACAACCUAAAAAGCAGGCAAAGGACGAGGAUGAGG